UCAAGAUACAAAAUGGUGUAGGGUGGUCGGAGUCCUUCCGAGUUCCAGCUGGCCCUGGACACUCGAUGGACUCUGACCUGCAGGACCUUCCCUCCGUUAAGGACACGGUGGAAUCCAGCUUGGCAUCUCGCGAGGUGCUGGCGAGGCUCCUCCGUGUCGCCAACAGCAACGGACUGCACUCUGGCCCUGGUCUCAAGACGAUUCGAGACCGAGCCAGGCAGGCGAAAAUCGCGGCGGGCGUUUUAAGUGGGAUAAUCCACCGCCGGAAGAGAGCCCUGGGUGACACGGAUAACGAAGGUCUUACGCCUAACUGGUUCUCUCGCCUGGCCGAGAGGAACGUUAUCUUUAUCACCAGGGUCUUCAGGUCUCGGCGGUGGGGGAGGUACAGGUACACGAUGAGUGUGUCCUCCCUCAUACUCUUGGUGUCCACCAUCACGCAAGUGUACCUGGACAGGCAAGGUAUGGGGGAUAUCGGCGACACCUCGACUUACCUGGAUUUCUACUGGCUCCUGUACGACGUACUUAAUGAGGUCAAAGAGUUUGCGGACUUGAAUUGCUAUUACCCCACCUAUUGGCCCGCCGCGUUGCUCGCCCCCGACCACUGCAAUCCCUACCGCCUGGUGGAGGAGACCCGCCGUGCCUUGGAAAACAGAGGUGGUGAAAUUCUGACAGAAUUUAGGUCAUUUACUAAAUCUGGGGAUUUGGUGUUGAGGAUAAAAAAUAUCGUGCUUGAGAGACUUUAAGAAAUGACCUCUUUGUUAGUGUCUUCCUAACAUUAUUUUUUAUCUGCGGCAACUAAGUCUCCUGGAAAGUGACGCCUGAAUUGUGUUUAAACUUCCUGCCUCGGGAUUUCCAAGGCUUGCGUGCGGUGUUCCCUCCACCAGGCGGAUGGGAUGAUGGGAUCCAAACCCGUUGCUGACUCCACAGAGUGGAAGGAACUGCCUGCACCUCCUUUGUUUCUGCGGUAACGUGCGGGGAGGAAAUUUAAGCAGCCAUUGCUGCCAUCCGGGGGUGUGAGGACUGACCUGAAGGACCUUCCCUCCAUGAUGGUCACGGUGGAACCCAUCCUGAUAACACGGAUGCUCCUCCCCAGGCUGGCUUGGGCAACGAAAGCCACUGCCCCGCCACGGGAGUGAGAGGAACUGACCUGAACAUCGCCUUCCUGCUUGCUGUAGGGGAAGCCUCUGCUGCUGGCCCUGCUGGAGAAAGUCUACCGUCUACGUCAUUGUGCACCAGUACCCAAGACGGCCAGGCAGCUGGGAGCACAAGCCACCACAGGUAAGAAAUCUUUACUGUAUUUUUGCCUUUAAUAUUACAGCGAUGUAUUUGGUAAGUUUCCUCCAA